AUAUAUAACUGCUGUUCUACUGUAUAUGUUCUUUUGUAGACAAGACUCUUGCCUAAAGAGCCCAUCUGGAAGACAGGUGCUGUAGUUUGAAACACUUGGGAAGACUUGACUUCUGUGGAAUGAGAAAUAUGAAGCUGUCCCCUCCUCUGGCAAAGACUUAACCCCAGGUAAAACGUC
rnacentral:lncRNA from 1 species